GAGUUUGAUCAUGGCUCAGAUUGAACGCUGGCGGCAGGCCUAACACAUGCAAGUCGAGCGGAUGACGGGAGCUUGCUCCUUGAUUCAGCGGCGGACGGGUGAGUAAUGCCUAGGAAUCUGCCUGGUAGUGGGGGACAACGUUUCGAAAGGAACGCUAAUACCGCAUACGUCCUACGGGAGAAAGCAGGGGACCUUCGGGCCUUGCGCUAUCAGAUGAGCCUAGGUCGGAUUAGCUAGUUGGUGGGGUAAUGGCUCACCAAGGCGACGAUCCGUAACUGGUCUGAGAGGAUGAUCAGUCACACUGGAACUGAGACACGGUCCAGACUCCUACGGAGGCAGCAGUGGGGAAUAUUGGACAAUGGGCGAAAAGCCUGAUCCAGCCAUGCCGCGUGUGUGAAGAAGGUCUUCGGAUUGUAAAGCACUUUAAGUU
rnacentral:rRNA from 1 species